CGGGGCUGGAACCCGGGAGUCGCCGGCCGCAGCCCCGAGAUCUCGUCCCGGGCUAGAAGGGGCCGCCUGGGAGCUGGGUGAGAAGGAAUGAGGGGCUGGGAGCACAGACACCCCGGGAAACUGCCCCAGUUGGGACAAGGAAGCUGGAGACCCGUUGGCAGCCAUCCUUCUGCUUUCCAUGGCCAGGCACCUGUGCCGCACUGAGCUGCUCUCAGCAUGUCCCCGGAGAGGUGACCGUGCGUGGCAGGGACGACCUGCCAGCUGCAAAGUAAGAGCCACAAACACCCCGUUUCCUUCUGUGCCAUGGCCUUUUGCAAACACAGCCCAGGAAAAAUCACACCCCAGCUGCCAAAGGGGCUUGGAUACAUUGGUUUCAGGGGACAAGCUGCAAAUGGCAGGGUUUCCCUCCUGGGGACAGUGGGGUGGCUGCUGGUGGGACCUGCUCCCCGCUGGUGCUGGGUUGAGGACCUUCUACGGCUGCAUGAGCUGGCCUAGGGAGCCAGGACCCAUGUCAGAAGAAGGUCUCUGCCUCCUAUAGCCCCUGUAUUUCCUCUAGCCAAAGGGAUGGGGAACCUAAAGCCACAUGAACGCUCACAUUGAACUAACACAUGCAGCACAGGUUGCAGAGCUGAGUCUAGAGCCAAGAUCCACCAGCAAGAGAGUGAAGGUUUGUCUCAGUGCCAGGGUGUGGGCGCAUCACCCCCAGAGCUGGGAGCAACACGCGUGUGGGUGCACCCAUAGCCAUCCUAGAGCACCAAGGCUACCUGUGCCCCAAGGGAAGAGUCGGCUUGAGCCGAAGAUGAGCCCAGUUUUCCAGCUGAGUGCACCAUGCCUACCCAUAACCUAUAUCUGACCUUCUCAUGAGAAGCACUCUCAGAUGCCUUAACAACAGCCCUGAUGACUCACUGCUUGGGGGCUGAUAUGAGGAUGUGAAUGCGAUGAUCCUGCUUUUUCUCCAAGGGCCAGAUGCCAUUUUUCCAUCACGGAUCCACCUCUCCUUGGACUUUUCCUCUUGGAACUUCUUUCUCCCAUAAACUGCACGAAGGCGUUUCACUCCCCCCGCCGCUGACGGGUCUCAUGCCAAAGACCAUAAAAAAGGCCAAAACUUGAAACUAAGCGCUUGAACAGUAUCUUCAGGUGACCAUAACAGCAUCUUCAGGUGACUGUAACAGCAUCUUCAGGUGACCGGUAACAGCAUCUUCCAGGUGACCGUAACAGCAUCUUCAGGUGACUGUAACAGCAUCUUCAGGUGACUUGUAACAGCAUCUUCAGAUGACUGGUAACAGCAUCUUCAGGUGACCGGUAACAGCAUCUUCCAGGUGACCGUAACAGCAUCUUCAGGUGACUGUAACAGCAUCUUGCCUGGAACCGCGCGGGCUCCUGGCGCCACCUGGUGCCCAUUUUCCCGGUCCCAGUGCUUACGGGGAGCGAGCGGCUUCGAUUUUGGAGAGGGGCUCCUCUCCCAGGAAAGUGAGCAUGGCCAGAGCCCACAUCAGCUUUCGGUUCCUCCUUCCCCCUCUCUUUUUUCGGGUGAAGCACAAAGCCUGCGGCUCCUGCCCAGUCCUCACCUUCUCCUCUUGGCAUCUCUGCUGCCGCUAGCAGCCUCUCUCUUAAUUUUAAUGCCUCUCCUUGAUGGUAGAGCCCCCCCAGGGGUGUUUCAGACCUGACACUGUGACGUACAGCCCUGGUAUGUCAGGUGUUGAGGGGAAGGUGCUGCCUGCAUUGCUAUGGAAGAAGGAAAAGCAGUGUCCACAAAGGGCAGGAGGGCAGCAAGUCUGACAGACAGCCCUGCUGAGGGGACCAAGGGGAGAGAACAGUCAGCAAAGAGCAUGGAAAGGGUAAUCCAUAAACUUGGGGCAUUUGCUGGAGGCCAGGCCUGACUCAUUAACAGCAUCUGGGCCUGGGUCCAUCGAAGAAACUAAUUCUGCGCUGCAGGGGCAGCAGGCUGAGGUUUCCGCGAGGGAAACAGCAGCACCGCGCUCAGCGUCCAGCACAGCAGCGCGUUCCCCUGGGCGGCUGUGCAGCCCAUCCUCUGUCAGUAGGUCGCCCACAGAAGGAGCUGCUGCUCUCCACGGUGAACCGACACUUGGCCAGUGUCUACCCCGCGUCCGCACCGACGGCUGCCGCCUCAUGUUUGCUUUCCCAGCUGUCCUUUGUAGGCAAAUGGAUUUGUGCGGCCCCAGCAAAUCUCAUCAUUUGAGUUCCCCAGAGACACUUUUUCAGCUGAUUAUUGUUUUUUUUUAUUCCCCAGCAGCCGUGGCUCCUGGAGUCCCGUGAUUGUCUGAUCGCUUCCGUGUGAGCUGAACCCAGUCAAAGCAGAUUUUCCCUCUGCUGUGAAAGGGCUGGAUUGAAAUAGUCCGCACCGAUGUAAAAAGGUCCUUACAGCUUCCAAGUGUGACCCUUGAAAACCUGCAAAGCGGCAAGCAAAAGGAACUCAGCCCCAUGUUUUGUAGAAAGGAGGAGGGAGAAGGUGAGAAUGGGGAAAGCGUUGCCAUUCACUUAGGAGCGAAUGCACGGAAAAGGAGGAAUGUAACCUGAGCAAUGCCCAGUUUUGUUCCCUGAGGACAGAACCAUUCUCCACGUCACACCAAAAAUUACGAUGCAAGAGAGACCCUCCACACACAGGGUCCCCACGCGUGCACUGGCUGUCCCCAUACGAAUGAAGGGCCAGACCUGCCCGUGCUGUUUGGUGUUUGCUUUGGAAAAUGCACACGCGGCUCGGCAGCGCGUUCUCCGGGGUGCGUGUGAAAUGCCCUGCCUACCCCGGUGCUGGAGAGAGUCUCGGUUCUCCGCGAGCAGCCCAGGUCGUCUGCCAUGAACCUCCAUAGGCAAGCCAGGGAAGGGCAGGGGAGCGCCUCUCCGGGCUGCUGGGAGCUGCUUCUCUGCUGCAGCAGCAGCGGGGAACCAAAGCUGACCUGAAAUCUGCCUCUUUCGCUUUAUCAGACUUGCUUUUCUUGGUAUUUCUGAUAUAUAUAUAUAUAUAUAUAUAUAUAUUUUAAGUCUGUUACUAAAUUUUCUUUAUUAUCUUCCUGGGUAACCUAGAUGUAUAUUACUAAUAUUUUGAGCGUGUUUUUGGACAGAAGCAGGAUUAAAAAAAAAAAAAUAGACUUGCUUCUCCUUUCCAUUUACAGAAAGAAAGC